rnacentral:rRNA from 1 species
CAAUAGCGUAUAUUAAAGUUGUUGCGGUUAAAAAGCUCGUAGUUGGAGUUCUGCCAGGUGCCGCCUGUCCGCCCCAGUGGUGAGUACGUGGCGCGCAUUUGGCCCUUUCAAGGGGAGCGUAUCUGCACUUUAUUGUGUGGUGCGGGAUCCUUGACUUUUACUUUGAGGAAAUAGGAGUGUUCCAAGCAGGCUCUCGUCGUGCACAGCUCAGCAUGGAAUAAUAGCAUUGGACCUCGAUUCUAAGCUGUUGGUUGCCAGAAGCGAGGUAAUGAUGAAGAGGGAUAGUUGGGGGCAUUCGUAUUUAACUGUCAGGGGUGAAAUUCUUGGAUUUGUUAAAGACGGACUACUGCGAAAGCAUCUGCCAGGGAUGUUUUCAUUGA